rnacentral:rRNA from 1 species
CGUGAACCUUUACUAUAGCUUGACACUGAACAUUGAGCCUUGAUGUGUAGGAUAGGUGGGAGGCUUUGAAGUGUGGACGCCAGUCUGCAUGGAGCCGACCUUGAAAUACCACCCUUUAAUGUUUGAUGUUCUAACGUUGACCCGUAAUCCGGGUUGCGGACAGUGUCUGGUGGGUAGUUUGACUGGGGCGGUCUCCUCCUAAAGAGUAACGGAGGAGCACGAAGGUUGGCUAAUCCUGGUCGGACAUCAGGAGGUUAGUGCAAUGGCAUAAGCCAGCUUGACUGCGAGCGUGACGGCGCGAGCAGGUGCGAAAGCAGGUCAUAGUGAUCCGGUGGUUCUGAAUGGAAGGGCCAUCGCUCAACGGAUAAAAGGUACUCCGGGGAUAACAGGCUGAUACCGCCCAAGAGUUCAUAUCGACGGCGGUGUUUGGCACCUCGAUGUCGGCUCAUCACAUCCUGGGGCUGAAGUAGGUCCCAAGGGUAUGGCUGUUCGCCAUUUAAAGUGGUACGCGAGCUGGGUUUAGAACGUCGUGAGACAGUUCGGUCCCUAUCUGCCGUGGGCGCUGGAGAACUGAGGGGGGCUGCUCCUAGUACGAGAGGACCGGAGUGGACGCAUCACUGGUGUUCGGGUUGUCAUGCCAAUGGCACUGCCCGGUAGCUAAAUGCGGAAGAGAUAAGUGCUGAAAGCAUCUAAGCACGAAACUUGCCCCGAGAUGAGUUCUCCCUGAGACUUUAAGUCUCCUGAAGGAACGUUGAAGACGACGACGUUGAUAGGCCGGGUGUGUAAGCGCAGCGAUGCGUUGAGCUAACCGGUACUAAUGAACCGUGAGG